rnacentral:tRNA from 1 species
GGGGAUUUAGCUCAGUGGCAUAGCGCCUGCCUUGCAAGCAGGCAGUCGUGAAAUCGAUCCCCG